AAGACUAUAUUUUCAGGGAUCAUUUCUAUAGUUAAUUAUUGGACAAGUUUCUCUGAACAUAUAGGGUACCAGAAACCACGAGAACGACACAGAACACCCACUCCUGAGUGGGAAGCUUGUUUUAAUCAUUGCUUUGGCAGCUGCUUUCUGCUGUUGAUGAUUGUUCAUGCCUUCUUUAAGUUAGUAUGAGGGAAAAGGUGUAUUCUGAGUGGA